rnacentral:rRNA from 1 species
GACGAACGCUGGCGGCGUGCUUAACACAUGCAAGUCGAACGAUGAAGCUGGAGCUUGCUCUAGCGGAUUAGUGGCGAACGGGUGAGUAACACGUGAACAAUCUGCCCUUGACUCUGGGAUAACUGCGGGAAACUGUAGCUAAUACCGGAUACUUUCACCGGGGGGCAUCCUCUGGUGAUGAACGAAUUUCGGUCAAAGAUGAGCUCGCGGCCUAUCAGCUUGUUGGUGAGGUAACGGCUCACCAAGGCGACGACGGGUAACCGGCCCGAGAGGGUGACCGGUCACACUGGGACUGAGACACGGCCCAGACUCCUACGGGAGGCAGCAGUGGGGAAUAUUGCACAAUGGGCGCAAGCCUGAUGCAGCAACGCCGCGUGAGGGAUGAAGGCCUUCGGGUUGUAAACCUCUUUUAGCAGGGAAGAAGCGAAAGUGACGGUACCUGCAGAAAAAGCACCGGCUAACUACGUGCCAGCCGCCGCCGUAA